AAUUACACAAUAUAUUACAAUAAUAAAAUUAAUAAUAUUAUAAUUGAGAAAGUUUAAAAUUAAUAAAAAAUUAUAUAUUAAAACCAUGCAUAGCAUGGAUAUUUACAUUAGUUAUUUGUAUUUUGGAACGAAUGAAAAAUAAACGUAAGAACUAUUAUUAUGGGAUGGAAGGUGUCACGACCCGUAACCAUGGCCCCAACCGGCACUAAGGCCCAGGUAAGUUUAAGGGCCCGAGACUCGUAGUAGGCCUAAUUAAAAACAAAUUCAAUUAUAUCAAUGUAAAUUCUAAGUAUUAAGCCCAUAUUGCCAUGCGAAUAUAAACCUCAUAUUCAUAUUAUAAUUCAGCCCCACGUUGUAACAUCUUAAACAUUUACAAAUUAGCCCGGCUUACAAUACAUCAUAUUUAUAAUAUGGUCUCACAGAAUUAUUAUAAUAAUUGAUCCAUUUAUUAAACCAAGCUUAAAGAGAGAAAAGUUGCUUAACACAUUGCCCACUUAAGCACUUGAUUACAACAAUCAUAUACUCAUAUGUUAAUACCAUAAGCUAUAAUUCAAAGAGUCAAUUAAAAUGGGUGCUGCCAACCCAAGGGAAUCAAGGUUUCCUAACCAAAACCCUUACACUAUAUGCCAAUUACCUCACUUCCCAAUAUAAACUAGAUUAUUAAUGAGAAAACUAGAAUAUCCUAUUAUUAACAAAUUCAUAUAAAUAACUUAUUUUGAAUGUUAUCAAAAUGUAAUUACUUUGCUAACUAGCUAAUCAAUUCUUGCUAAGAUUGUAUAGUUCUUGUUUUAUCGACUUUCAGCUAUUUUUCAGCCUGAAGUCUAAUUUCCAAAUUUCCGUCAAUCCACAGUUCGAGUAUCAAUUGAUAUCAGAUAGUAAAACUAAUUAUAUAUCCAUACUCUACACGAAAAAUACAAUGUUCUGCCUCUGGGAAACUCCGGUCACCGGAGCCACCGCUUUCGCCGCCGUCUACGGUGGCGGGAGGGGUGGUGGUUCUAGAAUUCAUCAAUCAACGCCAAAUCCUAUUGCAAAUCCCAACUAGAACGCGAUUUUAUGGUCAUUUUAUACCAAUUAUGUCAUUAUCUAUCAAAAUCCCAACUUAUAAACCAAUUAAAACAUAAGUUCAAAUUUUCCUAAAAUUUCCGAUUAUUUGCAAAUUAAGCAAACAAAUGACUUGUAAAGGCAUUAGAAAGGGAUAGUCAGCCGACCUCGUUGGUGUCAGUCAUCGGAAUUGUUCGAGGUGGCCGGAGUUGAUCAUCGCAACCUCUCUGUCUCCCUCUCUCUUUCUGUCGGGCGAGAAGUAGGCCAAGAGCAAGGAAUGGGUCGGAUGGUUGUAACCGUAGGGACUAGAAGCGAGGUUCAGGUGGCACGAAUGGCGUUCCUUGCCGUUGAUCGGUCUGAAAAUGCGGGAGGAGGGGCUGAGGGUGCUGCGAUCGCAGCUUCCUGCGACAGCCGCGCUAGCUACGCUAGCCUGAGUCAACAGAGGUGAGGGCGAAGGAGAGCGGCACGGGAACGGCAGCGGGAGGCGAUGGGAAUGGCACUGGCUUCAGGUGACCGAAAAGGCAAAAGGGAAAAGGGGAGGGGGGUGGAGGUCGGCGCUGAAGGGGAUAUGGGGAGGUUUCUAGAAUUGUUUAGGUUUUGAUUUUUUUUUUUUUGGUUUGGUUUGAUUCGGGUUGGGUUCAGUCCAAAUCAUGGUUUUUCUGUGAUUUUCAUUUCUUUCAUGGGUUUUACAUGGUUUGUCGAUUUUUCAUUUGGUUCUCUACUAGUUUUCAUUUAGUUGCAGGUUUG
rnacentral:lncRNA from 1 species